CCGGGAGCGCCCCAUCACGCCUACUCUGCGUACACGACGGCUCCGACUCUGCCUCCACCACCUCCGUACGCCGCUGCCUCGCCUUACUCGUGGGAUGCCACCGCCAUGUUCCACGCCGCGCCAAGCCAGGGGCACGGCUACCCACCUCAGGCCGAUUGGAUCAUGGAUACUGGCGCGUCCUCCCAUGUCACCGGUGACCCAGGAUCUUCACACCAAGGAGGUUCUUCUGAGGUCCAAUAGUGGUGACGACCUCUACCACUUCUCCGGCGACCAUGGCGGCCCCACACCAACGGCGUGUGCACUUGCGAUUUCGGAUCUCUGGCAUAAACGGCUCGGGCACCCGGGCUCUUCUUCUUUAGCUCAUUUCCCGUUUGAUGUUUCAUCCAAAUGUAAUAAACCUCCCAAGUCUCCCACAUGUAUUGCUUGUCAACAGGGCAAACACACCCGCCUCCCCUUCUCCACCUCGACAACCUAUACCACUGCACCAUUUCAGCUUUUGCAUUGUGACUUGUGGACUUCUCCCAUUGUUAGUUUUCCUGGCUACAAAUAUUACCUUGUUAUUUUGGAUGAUUAUACUCA